GGUACGAGGGGGCUAGCGUUGUUCGGAAUUACUGGGCGUAAAGCGCACGUAGGCGGACCAGAAAGUUGGAGGUGAAAUCCCAGGGCUCAACCUUGGAACUGCCUUCAAAACUCCUGGUCUUGAGUUCGAGAGAGGUGAGUGGAAUUCCGAGUGUAGAGGUGAAAUUCGUAGAUAUUCGGAGGAACACCAGUGGCGAAGGCGGCUCACUGGCUCGAUACUGACGCUGAGGUGCGAAAGCGUGGGGAGC
rnacentral:rRNA from 1 species